rnacentral:misc_RNA from 1 species
UUCCAUAUCAUCCUAUUGUCAUAUAUGGUACAUUCCUACCCCAUUUUCCUCAUACAAAAGACAGGAAAACCAUCUCUCUUCUAAGUGGCUUUUACAAAAUGGAAGGUCAAGGCGGUAGAGGUAUUAAUGAACAGGCAUGCUUUCCAGGGAGAGAUUGGCUGUGCCAAAAUUCCGAUGUUUACCAUCAGCCACAUUAGUUAGUUGGAAGCCUUUAUUAGGGAGCUGGUUGAUGAGAAGGGUUUCCAGUUGGCAAGCAAUGCUUUUUCCUUGAACUAUAAAAUAAAGGAAGGAGACAUGAUGCAUCCCCUCCUUUGAUCGAUGCGCACGGACUCGGCCUUCAAGAUCAUCCGU